GGUCUGGUAGUUCAGCUGGUUAGAAUGCCGCCCUGUCACGGCGGAGGUCGCGGGUUCGAGUCCCGUCCAGACCG
rnacentral:tRNA from 7 species